CUACGGGGUGGGAUAGAAUGCAGUUGUGCGCCUCUAAGCCAUGGUAGAGACGCGGCAUACGGCUCAGUAACACGUGGCUAACCUACCCUUAGGACGGGGACAACCCCGGGAAACUGGGGCUAAUAUCCGAUAGGUGAGGAGGCCUGGAAUGGUUCCUAGUCGAAAAGGCGUUGAAACCAUGCUUUUCGACGUCGCCUAAGGAUGGGGCCGCGCCCGAUCAGGUUGUUGGUGGGGCAACGGCUCACCAAGCCUAUAACCGGUACGGGCCGUGAGAGCGGGAGCCCGGAGAUGGGCACUGAGACAAGGGCCCAGGCCCUACGGGGCGCAGCAGUCGCGAAAACUCCGCAAUGCGCGAAAGCGUGACGGGGCUACCCCGAGUGCCGUCCGCUGAGGAUGGCUUUUCCCCGGUGUAAUGAGCCGGGGGAAUAAGGAGAGGGCAAGUCUGGUGUCAGCCGCCGCGGUAAUACCAGCUCGCCGAGUGGUAGGGAUGAUUAUUGGGCCUGAAGCGUCCGUAGCUGGCCUUUCAAGUCUCUUGUUAAAUCCAGCGAUUCAAUCGUUGGACUGCAGGAGAUACUGUGAGGCUAGGAGGCGAGAGAAGCCGACGGUAUUUUCGGGGUAGGGGUAAAAUCCUAUAAUCCCGAGAAGACCACCAGUGGCGAAGGCGGUCGGCUAGCGCGCGCUCGACAGUGAGGGACGAAAGCUGGGGGAGCGAACCGGAUUAGAUACCCGGGUAGUCCCAGCUGUAAACGAUGCUGGCUAGGUGUUGAAGCGGCCACGAGCCGCUUCAGUGCCGCACGAAAGCCAUUAAGCCAGCCGCCUGGGGAGUACGGCCGCAAGGCUGAAACUUAAAGGAAUUGGCGGGGGAGCACCACAAAGGGUGAAGCUUGCGGUUUAAUUGGAGUCAACGCCGGG
rnacentral:rRNA from 1 species